rnacentral:tRNA from 1 species
UCUAAUAUGGCAGAAUAGUGCAAUGAAUUUAAGAUUCAUAUAUAAAGAAAUACCUUUUAUUAGAA